rnacentral:rRNA from 1 species
UACGUAGGGGGCUAGCGUUGUUCGGAAUUACUGGGCGUAAAGCGCACGCAGGCGGAUUGGUAAGUCGGGGGUGAAAUCCCGGGGCUCAACCUCGGAAUUGCCUUCGAUACUGUUUAUCUUGAGUCCGGGAGAGGUGAGUGGAAUUCCUAGUGUAGAGGUGAAAUUCGUAGAUAUUAGGAAGAACACCAGUGGCGAAGGCGGCUCACUGGCCCGGUACUGACGCUCAUGUGCGAAAGCGUGGGGAGCAAACAGG